ACCAGACCAUCCAGCACAGCUUUUGCAGGUUUUUAUCUCCUUUUCAUCUCCAAGAUUGUGAAUCGAGCCUGGAUUAGACAUGCAGCAGACUGAGGACCUGGCUGAAAACUUGGCUGAAAACAGGAGCUUGCAGCAAAUUUGUCAUAGAUUAAAAGAAUAAAUGUGAUGUUAUUUCUGCACUGGAGGUGCUGUUCACCACAUUCUUAUCAGGUUGCUGCUGCUGUAUGACAGGGGAAACUGCACUGCACAGAGGAAAGAAGAGCUAGUCAAAAUGGAACAUCUGCAGGAGACUCAUUAAACUUGAAGAAAAGACAAUUUGAGGGUUGGAGGGAGGAAAGCCAGAGAAAGACAGGAGAGCUGUGAUUUCUUAUUUAUUAAUUUUAUAUCAUUAUGGUCCAACCACUUUUUUACCAUGUUGAGCUGCUGGCUGGCUGGCUAUUUAUUUAUUUAUUUACUUACUUACUUACUUGUUUACUUAUUUAUUUAUUAUAUUUCUAUACCACCCAAAACUUACAUCUCUGGGUGGUUUACAACACAACAAAAUAAAUGACUACAGAAAAGUUAAAACAUUAGUUAAAUGACAACAGAAAAAAAAUGUAAAACAUUAGUUAAA